rnacentral:rRNA from 1 species
GAUGAACGCUGGCGGCGUGCCUAAUACAUGCCAGUCGAGCGAACAGACGAGGAGCUUGCUCCUCUGACGUUAGCGGCGGACGGGUGAGUAACACGUGGAUAACCUACCUAUAAGACUGGGAUAACUUCGGGAAACCGGAGCUAAUACCGGAUAACAUGUUGAACCGCAUGGUUCAACAGUGAAAGACGGACUUGCUGUCACUUAUAGAUGGAUCCGCGCCGCAUUAGCUAGUUGGUAAGGUAACGGCUUACCAAGGCAACGAUGCGUAGCCGACCUGAGAGGGUGAUCGGCCACACUGGAACUGAGACACGGUCCAGACUCCUACGGGAGGCAGCAGUAGGGAAUCUUCCGCAAUGGGCGAAAGCCUGACGGAGCAACGCCGCGUGAGUGAAGAAGGUCUUCGGAUCGUAAAACUCUGUUAUUAGGGAAGAACAAAUGUGUAAGUAACUAUGCACGUCUUGACGGUACCUAAUCAGAAAGCCACGGCUAACUACGUG